rnacentral:rRNA from 1 species
UACGUAGGGCGCAAGCGUUGUCCGGAUUUAUUGGGCGUAAAGAGCUCGUAGGCGGUUUGUCGCGUCUUCCGUGAAAACUGGGGGCUUAACUUCCAGCUUGCGGUGGAUACGGGCUGACUGGAGUGCGGCAGGGGAGACUGGAAUUCCUGGUGUAGCGGUGAAAUGCGCAGAUAUCAGGAGGAACACCGAUGGCGAAGGCGGAUCUCUGGGCCGAUACUGACGCUGAGGAGCGAAAGCGUGGGGAGCGAACAGG